CUGGUGCACGGCUCGCACCCAAUGGACACGUAACCCUGAAGAACACAGUUGAUCGAGCACAAGAAUGUCAAUCGCUGCACAUGCACAUCUAAAACAUCUCAAGAUGGAAGAAGUAUGUUUCUCAGAAUUGUAAUACCAAGUCUAGUAGCUAGUAUAUGAUCCUAGUUUCAUGGACACAAUUUUUUCUAGUUGUUCUUGCCCUGAAAUGUUAAUAGGUGUGUAUUGAUUGUACGGCGUAAUGGAAGUUGAGCUGCAACUGCAAUGGCAGUGCUUACUUGUGCAUGCAGGGGGUUCACAGGGACGUCCAUGGUCCUCAGGAACGUCCAGAUGUCCUUGCCGUCGACGUUGGCGACGGGGUUCCA